GGAUGUGAUCAUACCAUCACUAAAGCACCGGAUCCCAUCAGAACUCCGAAGUUAAGCGUGCUUGGGCGAGAGUAGUACUAGGAUGGGUGACCUCCUGGGAAGUCCUCGUGUUGCAUUCC
rnacentral:rRNA from 1 species